GUUAAAUAAAAUAAAAUCAAAAGAUGAAAAUCAAAAAUGGAAGUUCUAGAAGAAAACCUUAAAAAAAAACCUUUUUCUCAAAAGAAAAACACAAAUGGGGGAGAUGGGAUUCGAACCCCUCCCCUUGGCAAUGCAACUCAGCGCGCCCACCACUGGGCUGUGAGUCACUUGGUGACAUAAGCCUGCUUCCAAGUCAAGAUAAACAAAACAAAUAAUUUAAAAAUCUGAAAUGCGCGCGCCCUGGC
rnacentral:lncRNA from 1 species